GUUGAUUCCACUGAGGCGUCUCUCAUUGGCCUAAUUCUUGCCCAAAGCGCAGUUAACGAGAGGUGCCUUUGAGCUGUCUCGUCUUGAGAACCGAAGCUUGUUGGACGAUCGUGGGUUGCUUCCAAUUCCAUGGCUGAAGCUUGGAAGAAACAGGUGUCGUUUGAAGGGAGCCAUCGCCAAGGAGAUGACAAGGAAUGCCCUUCUCGAGAAGGUCUCUCAGGAAAAAGAGCUCUGCAAUUAUAAGAUGCGCUGCUCUCUUCGUUCAGCUUCCAACAUAUAAACUUCCAAGUACUUUGAGUUUGAGGGCCCAAGAUUCUCUGUACGAUCAGUUCCAAUGCAGGAUUUGAACAUUCUUAGGAAUAUCUGAAACAGUGAUGAAGAACGUGGUUGGUUGUCUUCUGAUGUCUUUGACCUUGAACAUGAGCAAAAUGAGUGACAAUGCUAAGUUCUGAUGGUGAGCGCUUACUACAGUAGUCAGUGAUCUCUGAAAGAUGUAAUUCUACUGAUAAUAGUGUAAUUAGUGAUAAUUUCUUCCAUCGAAGUGUAACUCUAUACAUUGUAGUUACUGAAAACAGUGUAAUUAGUGAUAAUAGUGCACAUUUUUUGAUUCUCAGAACAAAA